CAAUCGAGAGCUUGCCCACAUGGCAAUUUCCGGGUAUCUUCCCUGAGUACAAUCCCUUCCUCCGUCUCCUCCUCAUCAUCAUCCACAGCCCACAUAUCUGUAGGAGGGCGUAAUAUCAGGGACUGAACAAAGUCAAUACCAAAGAAGCCAAGUAGGUAAAUGAAGGAAGCAACGAAAGCAACAAUAGCAGCAAUUUCGGAGAGAGCAACGACAUGUAGAGGGGUAGAUGUGCGAAUCUUCUCACGCCAGCGG
rnacentral:misc_RNA from 1 species